GCUUUUUUUCAAGCUGUGCAGAUACACUAAGCAGAAAAAUACCCCAUAUUAAAUGAAUUGUGAAUAGCGAUGUCUCUGCAUAAUGUUUGGGACUUCAAAAUUAACAGUUAUUGAUAUGGAGUAUAUGGAUGUUACUUCCCAGCUACCAGCUGCUGUUUAACAGUCAAUAAACCAGCAGUCAUCAAAUCAGAAUUGUUUAUCUUUCACUAAGAGUGCCGAUAUCCAAAAUGACACCAUUCCCAGAAAUCUAACCUGUAAACUUCAUUGUUCCGAAGUGUGGGGGCCUGUACUGGCAGGAACUGAGGUGUGAGGGUAGGGGUGGAAAGGAUUUUUAAAAAGCGGGUUAAAAAAGUUUAAAAGAAUUAAUGAAUGAAAAUGAAAAUAAGUAAAUAAAAAAUAUAUUUUUUUAAAAAGGGAUUUAAAAAGGGUUGAAGAUAGAGGAGCAAGUUCAUGGUCUGAAGUUGUGGAAGUCAGUAUUAAGUCCAGAGGAUGUAAAGUGCCUGAUCAGAAGAUCAGAUGCUGUUCCUCCAGUUUGCGUUGGGCUUCAGUGGAACAUUGCAGCAGGCUAAGAAUGGAGAUGUGAGCAUGAGAACAGGAUGGCAUGUUGAAAUGGCAAGUGACAGCAAAGUCAGGAUUGUGCUUGUGGACAGACCGAAGGUGUUCCGCAAAGCAGUCACCCAGUCUGCAUUUGGUUUCCCCACUGUAGAGGAAACUGCAUUGGGAGCAUCAAAUACAGUAGGACAAAUUGAAGAAGGUGCAAGUGAAGCAUUGCUUCACCUGAAAGGAGUAUUUAGGCCUUUGGACAGUGAGGAAGGAGGAGGUAACGGGGCAGGUGUUGCGCCUUCUGCAAUUGCAUGGAAAGGUGUUGUGAAGGAGAUGACGUGUCAGGGGUGAUGGAAGAGUGGACCAGGGCCUUAUGGAGGGUACCCUCCCUACAGAAUGCUGACAUGGUGGGUGAGGGGAAGAUGUUUUUGGUGUUGCCAUCAUGCUGCAAUUGGCGGAAAUGGUGGAGGAUGAUUGUUUGAAUGCAGAAGCUGUGCGGAGAAAAGCUAGGACAAGGGGUUCUGGGAGAGAGGGGAAGGUGUGAAGGCAGGGGCGCAGGAGAUGGGUUGGACAUGGUUGAGGGCCCUGUCAACACAGUGAAGGGUAAACCUCAGUUAAGCAAGAAGGAUGACAUGUCAGGAGCCUCGUUUUGGGAGGUGACAUCAUCAGAACAGAUGCGACGGAGGUGAAGGAACUGAGAGAAUGGGAUGGAAUCCUUACAGGAAGUAGGGCGUGAAGAGCUGUAGUCGAUGUAACUGUGGCAGUCAGUAGGCUUGUAAUGAAUAUUGAUGGACAGUCUAUCACCACAACAGCUUUCAGCUUCCUUGGAGCUGAAAGCUUCAUCCGAACUUCCUCUCCAGUACAUAUCUGCAUUUUCCCCUUCAUUUUUUGUAAAUUUCUCAUCUGAUUUCAGAGUUGCAGAUUUUGUGUUGAAAACAUACUGGGUGCCCACGGAAGCUCCUUUGAUUGACAGCUCUCUCUACCGCCCUCUCUCACGCACGUGACCCGCCAUAGCGUCACACCCCCUUUACGAGCUAAGGCGCCGCGCCUGCGCUGUGCCUCUAAUGAGCCACGUUCCCUUAGCAACCGACCGGCCCCGGCUGAUGAGCCGCCUUGAUUUCAGUGUCCGGUGAUGGGAGCUUGUUACUGAGAGUGUCCGCGUUUGGGGGGAACGGCAGCUGAUGAGGGGAAAUCGUCAACAUUUAUGAACCAGCAACACGGUCCGGGGCAGAGUCUCUGUGAAUCUGGGCAUUGUUCGUGACCCUAAAAUAAAAAAAAAGACAUAAAGCUGUUCUCGUUUGUACUUGUGACUUGAUUGGUCCAAUCUAUGAACUCGACUGCUGCUGUGACCCUGACUGCUGCUCCACAGACAUCAAUGUCUUCUCUUCCUGUCUACCGGCAGUGAACUGAUCAUGAUACAAUGUGAAACCCCAUAAUUAAGAGCGUGAGGAGAGUGGCAGAGACACAGGAUAAAAGAGUGCGAGAUAAGCGGAGACACAGGACAAAAGAGCGCGAGGAGAGUGGCAGAGACGCAGGGCAAAAGAGCGUGAGGAGAGCGGAGACACAGGAUAAAAGAGCGCGAGGAGAGCAGCGGAGACACAGGAUAAAAGAGCGCGAGGAGAGUUCCAGGGAGCAGAGUCGGAGGGCGGAGUUCUAGAGAGAGCAUCAGAAUCUGGGAAUCCCUGUCACCAACAUGGCUGAAGGUUCAAAGAGAGGACUAUGAUCAACAUCUUCAGCAAGAGUGAGAAUGGACAUUCAGAAUGCAAGUUCAGAAAAACAUAUUUAACAUAUUAUUUAUGCCCUGAUGAAGGGUCCAGCAAGAACCUGCAGCUCACACAGGAAGAGGGAGCAAGAUAGAAAAAGGAAAGUGCAUGACCAUCCAAAGGGGCAUCACAGUCACAUGUUCAGGGAGCCCUUGAGUACUGGAACUGUCCAGUAAAUAGAAUGGGAUUGUAAGGUGGAUAAGGACAGUGACUCGGAAUAGGAUCUUCCUGAGCAACAAUGCAACAUUUUUUUCUCUUUACAUUUUUUCAUGGGAUGUUGCUGGCCACGCCAGCAUUUGUUGCCCAUUCCUAAUUGCCCCUGAACUGAAUGACUUGCUGGACCAUGACAGAGAGCAUUUAAAAGCCUGGAGUCACAUGUAGGUCAAAGUAGGUAAGGAUAGAGGAUUUCCUUCCAUGAAGGGCAAUAGUGAACUGGAUACAUUUUUAUGACCAUUGAUGACAGUUUCAUGGUCACCAUUACUGGAAUUAACUUUAUAUUUCAGAUUUAUUAAAGGAAUUCAAAUUCCACCUAUCCCGAAUGAGAGGCCGGUGGGACUUAGGAAUAGGAGAAUGAUAGUUGUGGGAGAUUCUAUAGACAGGGGAAACGAGAGACUCUUCUACAGCCCUGAGCAGGUCACGAAUGGUAAGUUACCUCACUGGUACCACAGGGAAGGACAUCCUGGAACAGGUGGGACCAUCUCUGGGAAACAAAGUACAGCAGAAAAUAUCUAUGGUCAGAACCAAUAAUAUAGAUAGAAAGAAAUCUAUAAAGGGAAUAUAGAGACAGAGGCACUGGAGUAACUGAACCAGGCCUCAAGGUGAUGAAUCUCCAGGUUGUUUUGCAUGGGUCCAUUUAAGGAGGUAAAUAUGAGGCAGGUCAAUGAGCUGUUACAGGACUGGAGCAGGAGGGAAGUUAUUGGGGCAGUAGAGUGAGUUCAGGGUGAAGGGAAGGGACAGCCUUGAUCUGAACCCAGCGACAACAAUGGAUUUCCAGAAAUGGUGAAUGGAGCAGUGGGAAGCGUAUCUGCUGAUGUUAAUGGAGGGUGGGAAAUAUCCAGAUCUGAGACUAAAGAGUGAAUAAACUGUGGAGCAGAAACAGAAAUUAAUGAAAGGUUAUUAGAAAUAAGGAAGGAGGUUUUGAAACAGAGAGAGAUAAAGUCAAUUGGUAAUGAAAAAAAUCAUCAGAAUCAUCAUGUGUGCUCUGCCUGAAAGCAGGUCCUUCACUCAUGGUAGUCUUUCCAUGUCUCUAUCCUAUGCCUUUUCAUUAGCCAAUAAUUUCCUUCAACUUUCAAGCCAUUCAACAUUGAUAUUCUUUUCCUUCCUUUUCCUCUCUUUGCAUGAAGUCUUCCCUCCAUACAAAUGGAAGGAAUCCAUUCCCUCCUAAAAUGUGCUCUACCCAGACUCUCUGUCUGUUCCUAAUUAUGUUCAGCAAAUUUUUUAGUUUAUUCACUCUCUUAUUCACUUCAUUAUUUGCCAACUUUUUUGUCCAACUGAUCCUUUCCUCCUAAUUUUCCUCCUAAUCCACAUUUCAAAGCUUUUUAGGAAGUUAGCCUCCUCUUUCUGUAAGGUCCAAGUCUCACAUCCAAACAAAACAACAUUCCAAAUCAAGCACUUUACAAGCUACUUCUAGAGUUUUUUUUUCCUUCAGUUUUCUGGUUAGCUCUCCUCUUACCAAAUACAGCCUUUCCCAUUGCUAUUCUUAUUCUUAUUUCUUUGUUACACCUCCUAUAUGCAGAUAUUAUGCUUCCUAAACACUUGAAUUCCUUCUUCUCCCUUCUAUGAAUAUACAAAUUUUUUUUGGUGAUUUUAAGAUAUGUAUCACUUUGGUUUUGCCAAAGUUCACUUACACUUCGAAGUUCCUGUCUGCUAUCCUGACUGGUUCUUGUAUCCCUUCUUCUAUGCUAGCUACAACUGCUUUAUCAUCUGCAAAUCCGACUGAUGUUAUCAUCUGGCCCCCAGCUUUCCCCCACCUCAAUCUACCAAUAUAAACCACAGAUUCUGUGUCUUCAAAUGCUUCUUUGAUCAUUGCUUCGGCAUGGACAUUGAAGGGGACUGGUGAUAAACAAUACCCUUAUCAAACUCCUCAUUCAAUUAGACAUGGUUCCGACUCCUUGAUGGCUACUUUUACUGUUACUCUUUGUUCCAUGAUUUCUUAUGAGUCGUGUUGGGUUCCAUAUGACAGGAAAAGAAAUUUAGAACUUUAUUCUUUUGCCAUUAAAAAAAAAAGACUUUCUGCUGAACCAAAAAAUGGCUGCUAUAAGCCACAUUACCACAGGAUUGGACCUUUGUUCUGGGAUCUACCACCAGGAGUUACAAGAUCAAAAUAAGACUUUACCCAGCUCAUGGAAUCCCACACUUCAUUGUACAGAUCCCUUGUGAUCAACAAAAGCAGAGGAAGUGCAGAUGAACUGGCUCUCCAACUGGAACUAUCACAAAAGAGAGAAAAUGAAAUUCAUUAUAUUGGGAGAGAUACUGAUAACCACUUCAAUUCCCUCCUAAGGAGGAACAAUGGAAUUCUGACCAGAAGCACAGAAACUAAUUGUUAAUGUGCAACCAUUAAUGCAACAUGUCACAUGACCUAAGCCUCUGGCCUUUUUGUACAGUUUUAACGUUACAUCUUUAGCCUCGCAAGCAGCCUACUGUUUAACAUCUAAUUGGUGAACCACCAAGAAGCUUACCUCUAGGCAGAACAACAGGGUGCUUUUCAAGCCUGUUUCUGCUGGAAGAUUUCCUGCCAUUGUCUGCAAAACCGACACCAACUGUAAAGCAAAUUCCUCAACUUUGGUUUUCAGCCAGUUGAAUUUGAACUCCUACAUAAAAGAAUUCCUCAGUCGACUCUGACUCUGGACUCUGGAAAUCAUGUGAACUGAUAAUCAUUUCUGUGGUUCUUGUACUGUUGCUAUCUGUAAUCUAAAAUUCCUCUUUCUUUCCCCCCUUUACUGUGUGUGUGUGCACAUGUGUGUACAUGGGCUGGAUUGGGAAGUUGCAAACUCUCCUCCCCUGGUUUUGAAUGUGAAAUGAACUAAGCUUCAUAGUUAAACAUAACGCGAGUUUGCUGCGGAUUAUUAGUAAAUUGGAUCACACAAACUGAGGGUUGGGAGAAAGCCUCACUGCAUACUUUAAAAUAAUUCAAAACGCCUUCUGCUUACAGACAGGUGGUGAGAGGAAAUAAGUACAGUUUCCUGUCCCUCUCCUGUCUGUAACAGUCAUCUGUCUCUCCGGUCUACUCAGUGUCUUUCAGCACUAUCAAAAGCUUAAUCCAGUCAACCAAGUUAAAUGCUAUUUCAAAAUCUACAAAACAAACAUGUAAUUUCAGCCCAAAUUCUAAACUUCGUUCACGUAUUAAUUUUAUAAUGUCGAUUGUUUCUCCUCUCUCUCUUCGUCCCUGGAAUUCAAUCUGGUCAUCUCCAAUGUAGUUCCACACCUUCUUCUCCACUCUGUUACAACUCUCAACACAGCCUUUGAUGCAUGGGCAAUUAGACUAAUUUUACAAAAGUCAGGACAUCAGCAUGCUUUGGCUUCUUUCUUAUGGUGCUAAUUAUUAUCUGCAUGAAGUCCUCUGGCCAUUCCUCAUUACUGACAAGUAAAUAUCUUUGCACAGUUUCGUAAACUUUAAUGUUAUGCUUUUCCCCAGGUGUUUAAUCAAUUCUACAGGUAUUUUGUCUAUUACAGCCACUUUUCCAAUUUUUAUAUCAUUUCAUGCUGCUCUUAUCUCACUUUCUCAUAUCUAUAUUUUAAUAAAAUUGAUGUCAACAUUAAUCUCUCUUUCUCUGGGCUUGUUACUCCUCCCAUGUGCAUUGGCCUUCUUUAUAAGUCUCCCUUGUGGACCCUGUCAAAGCCUUUGCUGCAAUCCAUUUAAACUACAUCAACUGCACUACCCUCAUCUACACACCUGGUCACUCUCAAAAAAUUCAAUCAAAUUUCUUAGGCAUGACCUCUCUCUGACACAGCCAUGCUGACUAUCUCUGAUGAAACCUUG